ensembl:lncRNA
AUGCCAAAGGGCACCUGCCGUCCGGUGCAAAGCCGCCCUGAGUGCUGUGGCCUCCCUUGUGUGGUAAUUAGUGCCCAAAGUCCGGAGGGGUAUGAGGUGGCGGGGGGCUGGUGUGUCAGCACCACCCCGACGCACGCACAGCCAGACGGGUUGCAACCGUGCCCGGGCUUGGCCACAACUUUGUUUUUCGGUACAGGCACAAAUCAGAGCAGGCCCCAGGAACAGGGAGAGGCCAGCAAGCGGGAGCAGGCACUUACAAACGUGCAGGAGAAGCGGGAGCUUCCUGGACCACCAGGAGAACAGUAAAAAGUGGAGCAACAUUAUUGAAUUGGAAUGAGGAUGAGAAAGGUAUUGAUGGCCUGAGGAGUGAAGAAGUCAGAAUUGUCUGGAAGAGGAAGACAAUAACUGAUUAGAGAAAUGUAGUGGGAUUGCUAGACAGCAUAAACCAGCUCAUGGAUGCUCUAAUCACUCUGUUUUUCACUCACCACAUUCAGUUCCAUGGAAACAUGUUUGGAGUAAAUGACACUUUGCAUCAAAACAUGGCUUACACUUUUCUUGACAAAGCUAGGAGGGGCAAGGAAUUAAGGGAAUGUGCAAGGCCUAAUUAUAAUCAUUGACUGUGAACUUUAAAAUGAGGAAGAAAGAAAGUGAGAAUGUGAACCUAUAUACAGUCUACUACAUUUUAUUUUGUAGUAGACUGUAUAUAGAAUGUAGAAUGUGAACCUAUAUACAGUCUACUACAUUUCAUGUUUGUGUUCCAUUGACUACUUAUAUUUAGUUGACUCUGUAUUCAAUUUUCUUUUCUUGAUAUAUAUAUUUAUUUUUUUUGAACACUGUAUAUUGUAGAACUCUGGAUUCUAUUCCCUUUCUUUGAGUGUCUUGAUUCUUAUUAAAGUGGAUGUUUAUCUACUGAUUAUUCAUUUGAAUUUCUGUAAGCAUCAUUUUUAAUUUUUUUGAAUAGAUAUUAAUCAUGUGUCAGGUCUUAUGUGAUAAAAGCUUUUUUAAAUUUAUAUAUAUUUACAGGGUAAAUGUAUAUGCAUGUAUUUGAUCAUGAUAAGAUCAGGGCUUUUAGUGUACUCAUCACCAGAGUAGUGAACAUGGUACCCAAAUGGUAAUUUAUUAAUCCUCAGUCCACUCUCACCUUUUGUAGUCAAUAUCUGUUAUUCUACUAUUUAUGUCUAUGUGUACCUGUGGUACAGCUCCCACUUGUAAGUGAGAACAUGCAGUAUUUGAUUUUCUGUUUCUGAGUUUAUUUUACUGGGGGUAAUGGCCUCUGUUCCAUCUAGAUUGCUGUAAAUCGUUUUAUGGUUCCAUCUAGAUUUAUUCACUUUAUGGUUGCAUAAUAUUCCAUGGCAUAUAUGUACCACAUUUUUUUAAUCCUAUCCUCACUGAUAGAUGGGCUGAUUCUAUAGCUUUGUUAUUGUAAAUAGUGUUUCAAUAAACAUACAAGUGCAGGUAUCUUUUCAAUAUGAUUUCUUUUUCUUUGGGUAGAUACUCGGUGGUGCCAAUGCUGGAUUGAAUUAUAGUUUAUUUUUGGUUUUUGGGGAAAUCUCCAUAUUAUUUUCCAUAGAGGUUAUACUAAUUUACAUCGCUACCAUCAGUACAUAUGGAGUUUCUUUUCUCCAUAUCCUUACAAACAUCUGUUGUUUUUAGAUUUUUUAAGUAAUAGCCAUUGUGACUGGUGUAAGAUGAUAUUUCAUUGAAGUUUUAAUUUGCUUUUCUCUGAUAAUUAAUGAUGUUGAGCAUCUUUUCAUAUGUUUAUUGGCUGCCUGUAUGUCUUCUUUUGAAAAACGUUCAUUCAUGUCCUUGGCUCAGAAAAAAAAACUAACAAAUAACUUAAUUUUAUGGUUUUUUAGUGUCAAUUUACAGAGCUCAUUAUAUUCUCCAAGCUAUUCAGGACUAAUUUUUCAAAUUCUGUUCCCCAUAGAUAUCUUUUUAAAGCCUUGUUUUAAGCUCUGUUGGGGUGGAUCUAAUGCAGUUUAUACUCUGGGAAAUCCUUGCUUCUAUAGAGAAGAUUUGCUCUUGUUUUAAUUGGUCUCUAGAGGUAUUCAGGAGGUGAUAAUGAGAUCUCUCCAAUCAGGCAGGACCAAAAUUUAAGUGUUCCUAAGAUAGCUCCCUACUCUAGCAUUUUUGUUCUGCCCUCAACCUCAUAGCAGCUACUAUGGAUUCUAUUCUCUUUCCCAAGGAAAGCCUUGGGAAGUUUACUCUGUGCAUGUUAACUCAGCCCUCAGACAUAACUGUGACCACCAAACAAAGAUUAAUAAUCAUAAUUUAAUUAUUGUUACUUGAAUGAGUAUAAAAUAAUAUUAUAGUUUAAAUAAGUAAUUUAUUGGUUAUCAAUAUAAAUUAAUAUAUUUUUAUUUGGGAUUUUUAAAUUUUAUGCUAUUGAUUUUUGGUUCAGAAAUAUUUUACAUUUUAUAAAAAUUGGCC